rnacentral:lncRNA from 1 species
GGUAUGAUCAUCUUAUUGAGAAGUAUACAGUGCAAAAAAGGUUUUUCAAAACACUACAGGAUAAAUAACAAAUGAAUUCUUAAAACUGUUAAUCUCUGACAUCCAUAAAAAUUCAUCAGAGAGCAUUUUACUACUGAGCUGCAAAGGGAAAAACUUAAAAUGGAUAUGAAAAGUGAAGAAAGUGAUCAUAGGAGAAAACCAUUUCAGAUGACAAGAGCACCUCAAAGGCAGCAGCCUCAAGGAGCAGCCAUGGCCCCAGACUUGUCGCACGGAUGCAGAAAACUUAAUGGAGGAGGCUGAGGUCAGAAUGGGAAGAGUUUUUAAAAAAUAAAAAGGGGAGCUAAUAUGUGAGGAACUGAUUGCUGUGCAUUAUUUUCCACUGAACAGACCUUCUUUUAACUUCUAAUCUCAAGCACAUAGCAGCUGUUGUUUUCAUAUUAAAGAUCAGUAAGUGUUUGUUGAAUGAAUGUAUAAAUUCUUCCCCAAUCUCUGUUCCAUGUAAUAAGAACUAAGUUAGCAUUCAAUUAUAAAGAGGACUUAGAAAGUCUGCAGACAUUUUUGAUCAAAAAUCCUUUUAACUGUCUUCUUAUGGUUCCCGGUAACACCUAAGCCCAAAAAACUCAGGUCAUUUCUUGCCUGUACUGUUGCAAUAGCCUCAUAAUAACUAGUCUUCUCCUUUAUCAACCACAGUCGUCUCCGCUACACAAAGAAGAGAGGGUGCUAAUCUAAAGUGUAAAUUAUUUUAAAUCAGCACCCUUCUUGUAAUUUCCCAGUGGUUUUUCCUGUCAUAAGAAUAACAUGCAAAAUUCCUUGCUUGCAAAGCCAGGUAUGACCUUGCCCCGUCUACCUUACUGGCAUCGUCUCUCAUGACUCUUCCCCUUUUUCACUCUCCAUCUUGCCUUUUCCCAACCAUGCCUGCUAGUGAGCCUUAGCCCUUGUGUUUUCUCUGCCAGGGAUGCAUGACUGGCUUCUUUACUUUAUUCUGAUCUCUCUGCUCAAAUGUCAUCUUUUUAGAGAUAGCUUUCCUAAACAUCUUUAAAAGUACCCCAUGAACUGUGAAACACCUUUCCUGCUUUUUCUUCAUAGUACUUAUCACUUCCUGAUAUUAUGUUAGACAACAAGCAAAUAAGUAUAUGCUGUUCCCACUAAAAUAUAAGCUCCAUUUGAACAGGAGCCUUGAUUAUUCCUGAGUAUACCCCUAGUGCCCAGAACCUAGUAGGGCUUUAAUAAAUAUUAGAUUCAUUUGUUGAAUGAAAAAAUGAAUGAAUAAUUGAAUAAAGAUAUCCAGGUAGAGUGUCCGGGCAGCCCAACCUAUGUGAAGCCAGUACAAGAAUGUUUCUGUGACAUAGUGAGCGCAAUUAUUCCUCUAAAUGAUGAACUUGCAUGAGUACACAAGGAUAAAAUUAAGCACGUAGUUUAGAUUUCUGCAAGUCUCUUCCUCAGAUUGAGGAAAAACAAAGAAAUUGAGCUUAUUCUCACCUCAUUCUUACAUGAACUAAAUCCAGAAUAAAGCAUCAUUUAAAUACCAAGCACAUCCCUACCUCAGCCACUCAUGGAAUACUUUAUCUGUAAAGGGACAGAUAGAUAGUAAAUAUUUUUGGCUUUGGGGACCGUACAGUCUGUGUCGCCACUACUCAGCACUUCUGUUGAGGUGUGGAAUCAGCCCUAGACAACACAUAAACAAAUGGGUGUGGCUGUGUUCCAAUAAAAUGUUAUUUAUAAAACUAGGAAAUCAGCAGAUUUAGUCCACAGGCUGUAGUUUGCUGACCCUUGAAUUAGAGAGUCUUCCCCAAAUCCUCUUCCCAAGUUAUUGAAAGAAUGCCCAUAGGACCAUAGCUCCCUCACCUGGUUCUUUCAAGAAAUGAGACAAAUUCAGGGAUGGUUGGAGGGUGGAACGCCUACCUGUGACAUGACUAUUGAGCCUGAUUUCUUUCCUUUUAUCUCUUUAAAGUGAGUCAGGUCUUAACUUUAAACUGUCUCUAAAGUGGCAAUAACUGGGCCAUGUCAAAUACUCCCAAUGACAAAAUUUCUUCUUGGAGAAUGAAUGAGGGUUGCAUACAGUGGUGUGUUGGUAAAUGUUUAGCAACUGGCUCUCUUACUGAUUUCUGUAGUGUAAAUUCUCCCAUCCUGGCCAUCUGAAACUACCAAUAUGAUGUCACUUGAUGUAGAGUUGGGAAAAGACAGUCUCUUGAAUAAGUAUGAGCUGGUUCCAGCCCACUGCUGAACACAUAUUUAAAAGCUACAAUAGCUCUGCUCACUGCCAUUGCAGAGUCUGGAGGAAAGAGUAGCAGGCUUGAUAGGAGCAAUUGGCUGAAUAAUCUUUUGCAAUGCCAAUAAAUAAUGAAAAAGUAUAUAAAUAUAACGCUGUAUAGAAAGCUCUCAAGUUCAGUGUUUGGUUAAAAUACAUACUCAGUAAAUGGUAGCUAUUAUUGUCUUAGUUUAAGUUAUUGCAAGCAUUAAAAUUAAAUGUUUAGCUACAGACUCAAUCCAGUUUUAAUGUCAUUGUGUUAAUAAGGCCUCUUAACAUUGAAGCAACAAAGAUAAAGGAAUUUUUUUGUAGCUAUUCACGAUUCUGCCCAGCUCAAGGUAAAGAUAGCAACAAAAUACUCCAACCAGAAUAAAAGAAGUCUCCACUUGACUGCAGCUCUUCGCAACACUUCACAAGGGUCAAGCUGUGUUAGUUUCCUUCAGUGUUAAACAGAAUGCAUCUUAAGAGAAUAGUUCAAUUAUUGAUUGAAUAGUAGGUUCAAGUUGACUAUAAUCCCAACUAAUACACUCUAAGACCAGGGAUGGGCCGACAGAAGGGUAAAGUUUUCCACUCAAGUCUCGAGGCAAACACUCAGAUAGAAGUAGUAAUAUGGAUGCCUUCUAUUAUUUGGUCACAUACAAUACUGUUCCAGCCCAGUUGUGCAAAACUGGUGAAAUAAAAGGCAAAAAUAUUGACAACAGUUUGGGUAACUGGAUUCCAAAAUGGGCAUCCAUCUAAGAGAAAUUAAUGAAAAAAAA